GACAUAGGUGGCGAACGUUAUCCGGAAUUAUUGGGCGUAAAGGAUGCGUAGAUGGUAGAAUAAGUUACUGGUCGAUGCCAAACUCAAUUUGACGGAAGCGGGUAAUACUGUUCUGCUUGAGGGCAGGAGAGGUUGAUGGAAUUCUGUGUGGAGCGGUGAAAUGCGUUGAUCUACAGAGGAACACCAAAAAAGGCGAAGGCAGUCAACUAUUCUGUUCCUGACAUUGAGGCAUGAAAGCGUGGGGAGCAAACCGG
rnacentral:rRNA from 1 species